AAUGGCCGAAAGGCUGAACCAGUAACUUGGAAGAAUGGAAGUGUAUUUGUAUAAAUACAAUAGCGAUUAAUUCGCAUAAAAUUCUAAAUAGAUUAUUUAUAAUGACAAAAUCUAUUUAUAAGUCUUGACCAAACUACGUGCCAGCCGUCGCGGUAAUACGUAGGAGGCUAGUGUUAGUUAUCUUUAUUGGGUUUAAAGGGUAAGUAGACGGCGAUAAAAACUCCAAAAGAGUACUUUAUUGCUAGAGUUAUAUGUGAGAAGGAAGAAUACCUGGAGUAGAGAUAGAAUUUGUUGAUACCAGGGGGACUGUCAACGGCGAAGGCAUCCUUCUAUGUAAUAACUGACGUUGAGAGACGAAGGCUUGGGUAGCAAACAGGAUUAGAUACCCUAAUAGUCCAAGCAGACAAUGAUGAGUGCCAUACAUUAGAUAUAAUUUAAUGUAUAAAUGAAAGUGUAAGCAUUCCACCUCAAGAGUACUAUGGCAACAUAUAAACUGAAAUCAUUAGACCGUUUCUGAAACCAGUAGUGAAGUAUGUUAUUUAAUUCGAUGAUCCGCGAAAAACCUUACCACAGCUUGAAUAACUUUUAUGAAAAAUUGUUACAAGCGCUGCAUGGCUGUCUUUAGUUAAUGUCGUGAGAUUUGGUUAACUCCUUUAAUUAACGAAAACCCUCACUUUAUUUAUCUGUAUAAAGUGGUUCACUACUACAUUGGACUAGAUAAUAGGGAUUAAGACAAGUC
rnacentral:rRNA from 1 species